rnacentral:rRNA from 1 species
GGUAAUGCCGGAUGCUCCGACUCCUCGCAUGGGGUGUCGGGAAAGAUUUCAUCGGUAUGGGAUGGGGUCGCGUCCUAUCAGGUAGUCGGCGGGGUAACGGCCCACCGAGCCUACGACGGGUAGCCGGCCUGAGAGGGCGACCGGCCACAUUGGGACUGAGAUACGGCCCAGACUCCUACGGGAGGCAGCAGUGGGGAAUAUUGCACAAUGGGCGCAAGCCUGAUGCAGCGACGCCGCGUGCGGGAUGACGGCCUUCGGGUUGUAAACCGCUUUUGAUCGGGAGCAAGCCUUCGGGUGAGUGUACCUUUCGAAUAAGCACCGGCUAACUACGUGCCAGCAGCCGCGGUAAUACGUAGGGUGCAAGCGUUAUCCGGAAUUAUUGGGCGUAAAGGGCUCGUAGGCGGUUCGUCGCGUCCGGUGUGAAAGUCCAUCGCUUAACGGUGGAUCUGCGCCGGGUACGGGCGGGCUGGAGUGCGGUAGGGGAGACUGGAAUUCCCGGUGUAACGGUGGAAUGUGUAGAUAUCGGGAAGAACACCA